GGUGAGUUGGCCGAGUGGCUGAAGGCGCGCCCCUGCUAAGGGCGUAUACCGCAAGGUAUCGAGGGUUCGAAUCCCUCACUCACCG
rnacentral:tRNA from 2 species